rnacentral:rRNA from 1 species
GACAGAGGGUGCAAACGUUGUUCGGAAUUACUGGGCGUAAAGCGUGCGCAGGCGGUUUUGUAAGACAGGCGUGAAAUCCCCGAGCUCAACUUGGGAAUUGCGCUUGUGACUGCAAGGCUAGAGUGUGUCAGAGGGGGGUAGAAUUCCACGUGUAGCAGUGAAAUGCGUAGAGAUGUGGAGGAAUACCAAUGGCGAAGGCAGCCCCCCUGGGAUAAUAUUGACGCUCAUGCACGAAAGCGUGGGGAGCAAACAGG